rnacentral:lncRNA from 1 species
CAGGGCCAGCGGCGGCGAGCCGUGUGCCUGGCCGCCGUGGUGCUGCUGGCCUUCGUCACCUGCUUCGCACCCAACAACUUCGUGCUGCUGGUCCACAUGGUCAGCCGGCUCUUCUUCGGCCGCAGCUACUACCACGUGUACAAGCUGACCCUCUGCCUCAGCUGCCUCAACAACUGCCUGGACCCCUUCGUCUACUACUUCGCCUCCCGCGAGUUCCAGCUGCGCCUGCGCCACUACCUGGGCUACGGCCGCCUGCCCAGCGACAGCCUGGACACGACGCGCAGGGACAGCCUCUUCUCCGCCAGGACGCUCUCGGCGCGCUCCAUGUCCGCCGGCCCCGGGGACGCGCUCGAGGGCACUGGCCGGCCCGGCCUCAAGAGGCAGGAGAGCGUCUUCUGAGCCUGCGAGUGACCUUUGCAGGAGGUCCAGCGGGGACACGCACCCCCCACGGCCACCCUGGAGGUGUGCAGAGACCACCUGCUCCCUACGGGGGGGGGGAGCCACCAGGGGUCCCCAGGCCGCUGUGCCAUGGAGCCUGGACCCCCUGCGUCUUCCUGCUCAGGGACCCUGUGGUCGAAGUCACCGGCUGCGAAACCCAGACCGGUCAGGACCCAGCAGCGGAGACCACGGUGGCUUCACGGAGCAGCUUGCUCAGGGACUUGGAUCCUGCACAUUGUCACCGGGAGGUGCCUCCAGGGCUGGAGGCUUCUCAGCCACAGGCGGACACCUGGCUGGACCCCGCAUGCCAUUUGGGGACCAGGCACCAGUGAAUAGCGUCCUCCUCCAUUCAGGUCUGCGGGGACCUGGUGUGGGAACAGGGUCUCUGCAGAGGUGGUCAGUGCAGGGUCCUGAGAUGGGCUCCUCCUGGGUCAGGGGGCCCUCAUGCAAUGGCCGUGUCCUCCUAAGGGACAGAGGAGGGGACACAGACCCAGAGGAGGAGCCCUGUGGAGACGGAGGCAGAGACGGCAGUGAGGGGCCACCAGCCCAGGGCCACCUGGAGCCCAGGAGCUGGAGAGGCAGGAGGAGCCCCCUGGAGCCCAGGAGGGAGCUCAGCCGGGGACCCUGGUCCAGCCUCUGUCCCCCAGGGACACAUCAGCCCCUUGGACACUGAAGGUUCCCAAAGCCACAUCCCUGACAGGCCACCAUCUCCAUCCUGUGACAGACCCCGCACCUCCCGCUCCUCCCGAGGAUGAUCCCGUGGGUCCCAGAGCGUGGGCCCACGGCGGUUUUUCCUGGCUGUCCCCGAGCAGAACCUAGAAAGUGACACUGAGUCAGACACGUCGAGGGUGGAAACCCUGAGCCAGCAAAAUGGUCCCUGCGCGGGCUGUGGGCGUUUCGGAGGCAAAGAAAAAAAAAUCUACGAAAAACCUCAAACCACCAGCUCAGAGCCGAGCCCAGGAGCCUCAGGUCCUGCGUCCUGCAGAGAAUUCGAGACCUGGUGACAUCAGCAAAUCUCUGCAGCUUGCCUCUGUCCCCUGGAGCACACCAGACCUGCAGCCCCCGUGGACAGAGGGACAGGGCAGAUCCAGCUUUUCUCCGGACGCUCUGGGCUGCCGACCCCCCUUUGCCCUGCCUAGGAGCCACGUCCAGGUCCCCCGAUGUGACUUAGGCUCUGGAGUCUGUGGCUCCUGCCACCUGAGCCAUGCUCCGUGACGUGUGUGUCCCACGACCCGAGUUCCAGGGUCGACGUGGCUUUGCAUUGAGCAUUUUAAUCCUAUUGACGCGCUGUGUGUGUUUUCUGGAAUCUCGUCCCCUCGGUCCCCGGGCCUGAGGCUCGGACACCCCAGAGGAUAGAGGGGUGUCCACAACUGCAGAGACUCGGUCCCCGUCACUCUGUCACUUGUGGACAGUGGAAUUUUCAUUGCUCUCCCGUGCAUCCAAGAUGGACCAGGACCGCCUCUCGGGCAGGAAUGAGGACAGGGGACACCGAGGAGGGCCACCGGUUGAACGAGGGUCGUUAGCUUGUCCUUCAGGGCAGGACGUCAGGACCCCAGGGAAGUCCCCAUCGGUGAACUUUGCCCGUGGGUCAGCGGGGUCACCCCCAGGGACAGGCACGGGGCCAUCUUUCAAAGGAAGCAGAGGUGCCCAAGAGACCCAAAGGGACAUCAUGU